GUGUACCAAGCCUACACUCCGGAUUCCUCCGCGCCGUCCGCACCCACCUGACGACUGCUCGCUACGUUUUGUUAGCC
rnacentral:sRNA from 1 species